UACGUAGGCGGCAAGCGUUAUCCGGAAUUAUUGGGCGUAAAGCGCGCGCAGGCGGUUUCUUAAGUCUGAUGUGAAAGCCCACGGCUCAACCGUGGAGGGUCAUUGGAAACUGGGGAACUUGAGUGCAGAAGAGAAAAGCGGAAUUCCACGUGUAGCGGUGAAAUGCGUAGAGAUGUGGAGGAACACCAGUGGCGAAGGCGGCUUUUUGGUCUGUAACUGACGCUGAGGCGCGAAAGCGUGGGGAGCAAACAGG
rnacentral:rRNA from 1 species